rnacentral:rRNA from 1 species
AUUGAACGCUGGCGGCAUGCCUUACACAUGCAAGUCGAACGGUAACAGGUCUUCGGAUGCUGACGAGUGGCGAACGGGUGAGUAAUACAUCGGAACGUGCCUAGUAGUGGGGGAUAACUACUCGAAAGAGUGGCUAAUACCGCAUGAGAUCUACGGAUGAAAGCAGGGGAUCGCAAGACCUUGUGCUACUAGAGCGGCCGAUGGCAGAUUAGGUAGUUGGUGGGAUAAAAGCUUACCAAGCCGACGAUCUGUAGCUGGUCUGAGAGGACGAUCAGCCACACUGGGACUGAGACACGGCCCAGACUCCUACGGGAGGCAGCAGUGGGGAAGUUUGGACAAUGGGCGAAAGCCUGAUCCAGCAAUGCCGCGUGCAGGAUGAAGGCCUUCGGGUUGUAAACUGCUUUUGUACGGAACGAAAAGCCCUGGGUUAAUACCCUGGGGUCAUGACGGUAUCGUAAGAAUAAGCACCGGCUAACUACGUGCCAGCCGCCGCAGUAACAC